rnacentral:tRNA from 1 species
AAGGGAGACCUAAUUCAGGUAUAAGACGAAAAAAAAGUAGUCCCUACCAAGAAUCAAUCCCAAAAGGUCGGAACGAGGUAUGAGGCUUUCAAACUAGGUUCUGGGUUCAUAAAAGACCUGAAUCAGGAACAAGGGCUAUUAGCUCAGGUGGUUAGAGCGCACCCCUGAUAAGGGUGAGGUCCCUGGUUCGAGUCCAGGAUGGCCCACCUGCACAGGUGGCAAAAACAAGAGAAGCUCCGAAUCAGCACCUUAUCUUAUAUACAUAUAUAAGAGGGGAUGCUGGCUCUGAGUACAGAGUCCAGAGGAACCUUGAAAACUGCAUAGAGCUAGGUGAAAAAGCCAAAAAAGAAGACCGCAA